rnacentral:sRNA from 1 species
GUUUAGCCCAGAUAGCAGCGGCAUCCUUUUUCUUUUUUCUUUAAAAAGGAAAAGAUAGAGCGUAUAGCUGGAAAUAGC